UGUGCAAUGCAGAUGCAGAUGCAAUGUCAUUGCAGAUGCAGACUGGGCUGAUUGUGAACCUGUGUCUAGAUCGGAGCUUCCAUGCCUCUUUCAGAACUCGGAAGGUGAGAUGACCAGGCUGAUGUAAGCGAAAGAAGCCAAGGACACGGAGCAGGCCACCCUGAUCUGUAACCACAUGAUAUUUGAGGCGCAUUUAUUCUCAUGCUAUCCUGUAAGAAUUCAAUAAAGAUGAAACUGCAAGAAA